UACGGAGGGUGCAAACGUUGCUCGGAAUCAUUGGGCGUAAAGCGCGUGUAGGCGGCCUGUUAAGUCGAGUGUGAAAGCCCUGGGCUCAACCCAGGAAGUGCGCUCGAUACUGGCAGGCUUGAGUACGGGAGAGGAUAGCGGAAUUCCCGGUGUAGAGGUGAAAUUCGUAGAUAUCGGGAGGAACACCAGUGGCGAAGGCGGCUAUCUGGACCGAUACUGACGCUGAGACGCGAAAGCGUGGGUAGCAAACAGG
rnacentral:rRNA from 1 species